CAGCAUUUAGUUUCUUGCUUUAGGAAGCGGAAGACUAAUGACCGAAGCUUCAAGACUUUGACAUGUGUGAAAACAUGAAAUGACCCUUGGCUCUUAUUGUUCUUGCUGGUGUGGUAUGUUCACGGCUGAAAAGAUGGUCAGAAGGGGAAAGGAGGAAGUGAGAAGAAAGAAACAGGGAAAUGACAGAGUGUUGCUCAGUUACCCAGGCUGGAGUGCAAUGGCAUGAUCUUGGCUCACUGCAGCCUCCACCUCCUGGGUUCAAGCGGUUCUCGUGCCUCAGUCUCCCAAGUAGCUGGGAUUACAGCAGGCUGAGGAAUUACCAAGGAGGCAGGAGGUGGAGCAAAACACACCAAGCCUGGUGCCAAUCAUUGACAAUAUUAUGACCCUGCAUGUGAUGGAUCAGCUGACACCAUCCAGAUCGGUAAACUGGUUCAUCUGAUCUUGUGCCCUCCACCCAGGAACUGACUCAGCGCAAGAAGACAGCUUCGACUCCUUGUGAUUUCAUCCCUAACCAAUCAGCACUCCUGGCUCACUGGCUUCCCCCAACCCACCAAAUUGUCCUUAAAAACUCUGCUCUCCAAACGCUGGGGGAGACUGAUUUGAGUAAUAAUAAAACCCUGGUCUCCUGCACAGUU
rnacentral:lncRNA from 1 species